CGAAGUAGUGGUUUAAUUAAAAUUUUGGCAUUGGAAGCUAAGGAUUGGGGAUGACCCCCACUGUUCGA
rnacentral:tRNA from 1 species